GUGGCGUAGUGGUUAGAGCGUCCGCCAUGGAUGCGGAAAGUUGUGGGUUCGAUCCCCGGUCUAGUCA